AGUCUGGCUUUGCCAGUCCCACCUGCGAGCGCCUGGCGUGGUACUGAAGCUCUCAGAACUCCAGUCUCCUCCUCUGUUACAUCCAGGCCGGAGUGGCUAGAGGAGCAGAGGAGAUGUCACCAGGACUGUCAUUGGAAAAGAUUAGAGAAGACAUCACACAGCACCUUGGUCCAGGCAUUGCAGAAAUGACUGUCCGACUUUGGAAGGGUCGUCCAGGACCAGACCUUGAGGAAGACAAUCUCUGCUGGGUGCUGCUGAAGGAGAGAGACUAUUUCCUAAUGGGCACAAACAAGGAAGGAUGAGGCGAGACCUGCUGACAGUCAUCUUGUGACCCAGGGGCAAGCCUGCCUAAAAAUCAGACCAACAAGAAGCCAGAAGUGAGAAAUGGAGAUUUCCUUUCCAUCUUGGAUCACACUUCAUCUGAAACUAUACCUACGCUAUUUAAGUAAAUGGGCCAACAAAUUCCUUUUAUUGUUUAAACUAGAUUGAAAAGAAUUUUCCAUUAUUCACAGCAUAAAAUAUUAAUGGAUGCACACAUUAUCUCAAUCCUUCUUCCUUAAAAUUUUGUUUCAAAUACUUGCAUUUUAUCGGGUCAUAUGAAAAUCCCCCUCCUUACCCCCGAAAAGAGCAAAUUAAUCCUGCAGGUCUGUCAACCUUCAGAUCCAGAGAUGACUGUUGUACAAUCCAGAUGACAAAGAACUCCUCUGGAAGUCAAAUCCUUGAUGCCAAGGUCAGGACUCCAAGUUUUCUUCCCUGCUCAUGGCUAAAUGAGGCCAUGCUGAAGAAUACAGGUUCAGUCCUUACAGCAGUUGUGUAGCCUCUGUGAUCAUCACCAAAAAGGCCAAUACAUGUGGGUCACAACUCAGAGAGUGCAGUGGCAUAAAUCAAGACAUCAGUGAUAGCUAAGAAGAAGGCUUUCCUACUCGUAAGGGGAGCGCUUGUCAAAGGGGUCAGUAUUAAUUCAGUCAGACAAACUGGGUUCAAAAAUAUGACCAAUGGCAUGAAUUUGGUUAUGUCACU